UCCAGACUCCUACGGGAGGCAGCAGUGGGGGAUAUUGCACAAUGGGGGGAACCCUGAUGCAGCGACGCCGCGUGGGUGAAGAAGUAUUUCGGUAUGUAAAGCCCUAUCGGCAGGGAAGAAAUUGGACGGUACCUGACUAAGAAGCCCCGGCUAACUACGUGCCAGCAGCCGCGGUAAUACGUAGGGGGCAAGCGUUAUCCGGAUUCACUGGGUGUAAAGGGAGCGUAGACGGCCAUGCAAGCCUGGAGUGAAAGCCCGGGGCCCAACCCCGGGACUGCUCUGGGAACUGUGCGGCUGGAGUGCGGGAGGGGCAGGCGGAAUUCCUGGUGUAGCGGUGAAAUGCGUAGAUAUCCGGAGGAACACCGGCGGCGAAGGCGGCCUGCUGGACCGCGACUGACGUUGAGGCACGAAAGCGUGGGUAUCGAACAGGAUUAGAUACCCGUGUAAC
rnacentral:rRNA from 1 species